rnacentral:rRNA from 1 species
UACGGAGGGUGCAAGCGUUAAUCGGAAUUACUGGGCGUAAAGCGUGCGUAGGCGGUUCGUUAAGUCUGUUGUGAAAGCCCCGGGCUCAACCUGGGAAUGGCAAUGGAUACUGGCGAGCUAGAGUGUGUCGAGAGGUGGAUUGACCGUUCCGGUGUGAGUGGAAUGAAUCGUAGAGAUCGGGAGGAACAUCAGUGGCGAAGGCGGCCAUCUGGGACAACACUGACGCUGAGGCACGAAAGCGUGGGGAGCAAACAGG